rnacentral:rRNA from 1 species
CCUACGGGAGGCAGCAGUGAGGAAUAUUGGUCAAUGGACGCAAGCCUGAACCAGCCAAGUAGCGUGAAGGAUGACGGCCCUACGGGUUGUAAACUUCUUUUAUACAGGAAUAAAGUGAAGCACGUGUGCCUUUUUGUAUGUACUUUAUGAAUAAGGAUCGGCUAACUCCGUGCCAGCAGCCGCGGUAAUACGGAGGAUCCGAGCGUUAUCCGGAUUUAUUGGGUUUAAAGGGAGCGUAGAUGGGUUGUUAAGUCAGUUGUGAAAGUUUGCGGCUCAACCGUAAAAUUGCAAUUGAUACUGGUAGUCUUGAGUACAGUUGAGGUAGGCGGAAUUCGUGGUGUAGCGGUGAAAUGCUUAGAGAUCACGAAGAACUCCGAUUGCGAAGGCAGCUUACUAAACUGCAACUGACAUUGAUGCUCGAAAGUGUGGGUAUCAAACAGGAUUAGAUACCCGUGUAGUC